rnacentral:rRNA from 1 species
AUUGAACGCUGGCGGCAUGCCUUACACAUGCAAGUCGAACGGUAACAGGUUAAGCUGACGAGUGGCGAACGGGUGAGUAAUGUAUCGGAACGUGCCCAGUCGUGGGGGAUAACUGCUCGAAAGAGCAGCUAAUACCGCAUACGACCUGAGGGUGAAAGCGGGGGAUCGCAAGACCUCGCGCGAUUGGAGCGGCCGAUAUCAGAUUAGGUAGUUGGUGGGGUAAAAGCCCACCAAGCCGACGAUCUGUAGCUGGUCUGAGAGGACGACCAGCCACACUGGGACUGAGACACGGCCCAGACUCCUACGGGAGGCAGCAGUGGGGAAUUUUGGACAAUGGGCGCAAGCCUGAUCCAGCCAUGCCGCGUGCGGGAAGAAGGCCUUCGGGUUGUAAACCGCUUUUGUCAGGGAAGAAAAGGUCCUGGUUAAUACCUGGGACUCAUGACGGUACCUGAAGAAUAAGCACCGGCUAACUACGUGCCAGCAGCCGCCGCGGUAA